rnacentral:ncRNA from 1 species
UACAAUGUCAUGAAAGCGAGCGCAAAUUUCAACUCACAAAAGAGAGAGUUCGGUUGGUGAAAGAACUCGUGAAAGAACUUUGCAACUCACGCUUGAACAGUUCGCGUGAAAAAGUAGUGCGAAAUGAGUGGUUCCCAUUACAGAACCAAGAGUGAAGCAAUAGCUUAACUUGGGUGGUACCGCGUUUAUAACGUCCCUUUU